rnacentral:rRNA from 1 species
AAGGCUUGACAUGCAUUUCUAAGCGCGUGAAAGCGCGUGACCCUUCGGGGGACUUGCACAGGUGCUGCAUGGCCGUCGUCAGCUCGUGUCGUGAGAUGUUGGGUUAAGUCCCGCAACGAGCGCAACCCCUGUGGACAGUUGCCAGCGGGUAAUGCCGGGGACUCUGUUCAGACUGCCCAGAUCAACUGGGAGGAAGGUGGGGACGACGUCGAGGUCAGUAUGGCCCUUACGCCGUUGGG